AAAGCUUUAGCAGUGAUCGUCUUUGUGAAAUACAAAUUGUUGCAAAUGGCGAAUCAGCAACAAGAAUCGAGUCGGCCAUGGAUUCUCGAAGCAUUACCUCUUCUAGUAGUCAUACUAAUCGCUGCUCAUGUUCUCGCUUUGGUGUACUGGAUUUACCGGGUAGCAACUGAGAAACAGCCUCAGAGAAGUAAAAAGCACUAGCAAAUGUAGAUAGAUUGAUUUCAUUUUGCUUCAGCUUAUAGGAAAAUGCAAGGGAUUCAUUCUAUACAUGUCGGAGACAAGAUUUACACUCGAGGCUUUGGUGAUUAGCGAGAGCCCUCUUGCCUAAGCAUACGUGAGUCUCUUUUUCUUCGUGAAAACUACGUUAAUGGUAGCAUUGUUGAGAAACUUCUUUCUUCUUCUCUAUUAACAUCAGUGUGAAUUUCUACCCCAACUUUGUAAUUCUUCUGUAGAAUUUUUUGCAUCUCCAAAUCCUCAUCUGCUUUACUGGUGUGUGUGUGUGCCAUGAGUCUUUUACUAAAGCUUUUCAUCCACUUGUAAAUUUAGUGUAGCAUGAAAAUUGGAAGUUUGAGGAUUAUUAGUCAUAUAAGCAUGUUUAAAGUUUGUAGACACAAGAUUCUCUUCAUCCAAAAA